ensembl:lncRNA
GUUUUUCCGUUAGUCUAUUUUUUACUUGUGUGACAUUGCAGGCUCCUGAAAACUAGGCAAUAGGAAGAUCGUGCCUGGGAUUCUGAGGUGUUCAUUACUGUGAGUGUGAGUGUGAGUGUGUGUGUGUGUGUGUAAGCAGAGAAGAGAGGAAAAGACAGAAGAAAACUAGAGAGAGGACAGACAAGAAGAUCAAACGCGAUAGGAAAGAAAAAAAAAAGACUGAAGAAACAGCAAAAGGAAGCUAAAGGGGUAAAAGGAGGACAGGGACAUGGAGCAGAGACAUGGAGCAGGGACAUGGAGCAGAGACAUGGAGCAGAGACAUGGAGCAGGGACAUGGAGCAGAGACAUGGAGCAGGGACAUGGAGCAGAGACAUGGAGCAGACCCAGCGUCUCCGUAUCGAUCCUCUCAUCAGGACACGUGAUACUACACACAGAGAAGAGCAGCGUUCUGAGGCAGGCGCACAAGAUUCUUUUUCCCUCUUUUUCUUCUGCACCACACACACACACACACACACACACACACACACACAUCUCGCCUUUGAAAACGUAAUUACAUAACAGAAUAAUAAUAUAAUAAUAGAACAGGUCACAAACACGUCGCAGCUCAGGAAACGACUUGUGGCAUUUUAGACAUCACACCGCGGUAAACAAUAACAACGGCACAAGCGUGGCGAUAAUAUAGCGACAACUUGCUCCAUGGCAACCGACGUCCCGAAAUGACAUGAAUGUCACAUUUUCAUGAAACACAAUGAUAAUCAAUAGGCGAGGAUUGGAAGUGUUUGCUGAAUCAAAGUCAUGAUGUCAAUAAGAAAACGUUUGGGGUAAAAGGAGCAAAUCAAUGCUUCCAAGAUGACCACAGCCAGUGUCCCCCCCAUCUCACCGCGCUGACCUGCAGUCAGUCCUCCAGCACACAGGCUGAGACAACACUUGAUCCUGACCGGUCACCAGCUUUUCCCAGAAAAACUGUUUUCCUCAGUUUGUAUUUUCGCUGUGCGGGAGGAGGGGGAAGUAUGUUUGUGUAUUUAGUUCUGGUUCAAUGAGUUUUCAGGGAAACUUUCUUUCAACCAAAAUCUGUCUCACCUCCACCAGUUAACCUCUGCGUCCCUCCGUGUCCCUCAGUGUCCCUCUGCGUCCCUCUGCGUCCCUCUGCGUCCCUCUGCGUCCCUCUGCGUCCCUCCGUGUCCCUCCGUGUCCCUCAGUGUCCCUCAGUGUCCCUCUGCAACCCUCAGUGUCCCCACUUCUAUUGGGCUCCAUCGAUUCUCUUAUUCCUCUCUUUCUCUGCACAGUUCUCUCCCUUCUUCACUACAGAACAAACACACACACACACACACACACACACAGAGACAGACAGGCACACACACACACACACACACACACACACACACCUCUUUCCAGAGCAAAUACACAGAGAAAACACAUACACACACAAAGAAACGCACACACACACACACACAGCAUAUGCACUAGCUACCAAGCCUUCUUUUUCAGUUUCC